GACGAACGCUGGCGGCGGGCUUAACACAUGCAAGUCGAACGGAAAGGCCCUGCUUUUGUGGGGGGCUCGAGUGGCGAACGGGUGAGUAACACGUGAGUAACCUGCCCUUGACUCUGGGAUAACUUCAUGAAACUGGGGCUAAAACCGGAUAGGAGCUCCUGCUGCAUGGUGGGGGUUGGAAAGUUUCGGCGGCUGGGGAUGGAGUCGCGGCUUAUCAGUUUGUUGGUGGGGGAGUGGCUUACCAAGGCUUUGACGGGUAGCCGGCCGGCGCGGGUGAACGGCCACACUGGGCCUGCGCUGCCGCCCAGCCUCCUUCGGGAGGCAGCGGUGAGGAAUAUUACACAGUGCGCGCAAGCCUGAUGCAGGAACGCCGCGUCCCGGGUGAGGGCAUUCGGGUUGUAUGCCGCUUUCGCCUGUGACCAAGCGUGAGUGACGGUAAUGGGUAAAGAAGCACCGGCUAACUCCGUG
rnacentral:rRNA from 1 species